GACGAACGCUGGCGGCGUGCUUAACACAUGCAAGUCGAACGGAAAGGCCCUGCUUUUGUGGGGUGCUCGAGUGGCGAACGGGUGAGUAACACGUGAGUAACCUGCCCUUGACUUUGGGAUAACUUCAGGAAACUGGGGCUAAUACCGGAUAGGAGCUCCUGCUGCAUGGUGGGGGUUGGAAAGUUUCGGCGGUUGGGGAUGGACUCGCGGCUUAUCAGCUUGUUGGUGGGGUAGUGGCUUACCAAGGCUUUGACGGGUAGCCGGCCUGAGAGGGUGACCGGCCAAAUUGGGACUGAGAUACGGCCCAGAAUCCUAAGGGAGGCAGCAGUGGGGAAUAUUGCACAAUGGGCGGAAGCCUGAUGCAGCAACGCCGCGUGCGGGAUGACGGCCUUCGGGUUGUAAACCGCUUUCGCCUGUGACGAAGCGUGAGUGACGGUAAUGGGUAAAGAAGCACCGGCUAACUACGUG
rnacentral:rRNA from 1 species